GUUAAGUCCCGCAACGAGCGCAACCCUUAUCCUUUGUUGCCAGCGAUUCGGUCGGGAACUCAAAGGAGACUGCCGGUGAUAAACCGGAGGAAGGUGGGGAUGACGUCAAGUCAUCAUGGCCCUUACGAGUAGGGCUACACACGUGCUACAAUGGCGCAUACAAAGAGAAGCGACCUCGCGAGAGCAAGCGGACCUCAUAAAGUGCGUCGUAGUCCGGAUCGGAGUCUGCAACUCGACUCCGUGAAGUCGGAAUC
rnacentral:rRNA from 1 species